CAAAGAAGAAAUUUACGUAACUAUUGAGAUGAAAUUACAGUGUGGACGACGUACAGUGUCUAAUGAAGUAACAAAUCGUACUAACAAUGGUCCAGAGUCUUUUUACAGCUAUUUAUAACACAUGUAUUAUACCCAUCGCUAUCGCUCGGAAAUAAUCCAAUAUAAAUGCCAAACCCAUUUAAAAUGAAAACAAAUCUAUACGGCUGCCAC
rnacentral:lncRNA from 1 species